CUAAUAUUAAUUUGAAGAUUUGUGUAAUGAAAGAUUUUAUUAUAUUCAUGUUCAAAUGUGGAAAAUUUAACAGUGACUAUAAAGAGUCAGUAAAUCAAUAAGACCUAGAUAAAAAUAAAUUAAAAAGCUAAAGUUCCUAUGUGUUUAUAGUUUUAAUCAAUAAAAAUGUCAUCUGUUUCAAUUUAUAAACUUUGAUAGAUGAAAAAUCUUUUCACUUGGCUUUUUUCUAUAAAGUAGAAAACAAUAGACCCAAUUUUUAUUUCUGAUUAGAAUGUUAGUUACAAGUUUAUCUCAUAGGUCAUACAAGCAGAACUAAAUGUCAAUUAUCAUAAGAUAGCUGCCACUAGAAAACUAAUAACCUAAAAUAGAUCAAUAAUACAAUAACAUUAUCUAAUUACUGAUUCCUGGUGCCAUGUAUCUAUCUAUGUAGGAUCUGAACUUGGCCUCCAAACUGUCAAAACCAGUUCUUUAUUGUCUGAACACUUUAAUUACUGACUCCUGGUUCCAUGUAUCUAUCUAUGUAAGAUCUGAACUUGGCCUCCAUGCUGUCCAAGCCAGUUCUUUACUGUUUGAACACUGUUUAAUUACUGACUCCUGGUUCUAUGUAUCUAUGUAGGAUCUGAACUAAGUCUCCAAACUGUUCAGACCAGUGCCACACUAUAUGAGAUUCAUGUAUUGUUGUUGCAGACUUGUUUUUAUUUUCACAUAUUUUAUCUGCUGGAUAUUGUUGAUGUUGUGAUCAUUUUCUAAGCUCCUGAAUUUAUUUGCAUGUUUUCAAUAUCUGUAUUUUUCUCUUUCUUUUUUUUUUGUGAUGUGAUAAGUUUAAUAAAAUGGUGUCCUAGGAAUUACAAGUAACACCUAGUGCUGGAGUAGUUUGUUUAGUCUCUAACUAAUAUAUAAGCUACAUUGACAGCUUUCAUAAACUUGUGAAAAGUAACACAUAUUGAAGAAAUGUGAAAGUUCCCUUUGAAAUAUCAAUGACAUUUAUUGGUUAUGUAUAGAAUAAAAGUUGCAUUUGGAUUAUCAAAGUCACUUAGUGAGCAUGUAAUAGAAUGCAGUUUGUUUUAGAAUGUUAAUAGACUAGUUCAAUUUGUGCAGUGGAUUUACAAUAAGAGUUCCCUCCAUCAAGCAGUAUAUACAUGUCAAAACAACUACAUUUGCAGAUGUUGUUUUUGUGCACUUUAGAAUUAGUACAUAUCAGUUUAUGUAGAGGUAAAUUCUGUUUAAUAAUGUUUUGUGUAGGCUUAUUCAGACUUUUUUUUUCUAGACCGGAAUGUGAUGUGAAAAUGAGAAUACAAUAAUAUAAUUAUGUAAGAGCACCACUUUUGUAAGUGCACCUGAACCAGUACUCUUAAUUAAUAAAAAAAAACGUUUAUAUA